AGAAGAAACAACAAAUCUGGAGAGUAUGUGCGAACCAACAUGCAGAAGUUUGGUGAGGGGGCUACUGCGGGGUGUACCAUCCACCCCAACACAGGAGACAUCGGUGUCAGAUAAAAAGGAGGGGUCAGGCAGGUCUUGUUCUCUGAGAACACUACGGGCUGCACCUGUGUCAACUAGGAAGGUAGUUGGAUGUCCCUCUACGGGGAGAACUACAGUAGCUAAGGGCCCUCCCCUGCAGACACUGCCAUGGCAGGGGUCGCUGACACAGGCUUGCCGGUUACCUAUUGCAAUAAAUCUAAAUGGGCCUGGUCGGGACCUU